AAAUGACAGAAUAACAUAUUAGAGAAACUUUUGCAAAUGAAUUGGUUUGAUACUAGUAAACAAAACUUGAGGACUCAAAGGCAAUGAACUGAAAGAGGAAAUGAUCAUAGAUUUAUAACUUCAGUUAAAUUAUUCCUGGUCUUGACACGAAACCACUGAAAAUUGCAUCAUAGACUCAUAUUAAGUGUUAAUUAGUUGAAAAUUAAAAACUCUUCUAGCAUGAAUCAAAAUUCAACAACCAUACAAACUAAGCAUGAAUCGAAAUUCAACAAUAAGUCAGCAACC